rnacentral:rRNA from 1 species
GAUGAACGCUGGCGGCGUGCCUAAUACAUGCAAGUCGAGCGAACAGAUGAGGAGCUUGCUCCUCUGACGUUAGCGGCGGACGGGUGAGUAACACGUGGAUCACCUACCUAUAAUACUGGGAUAACUUCGGGAAACAGGAGCUAAUACCGGAUCAUAUAUUGAACCGCAUGGUUCAAUAGUGCAAGACGGUUUUCCUGUCACUUAUAGAUGGAUCCGCGCCGGAUUAGCUAGUUGGUAAGGUAACGGCUUACCAAGGCGACGAUGCGUAGCUGACCUGAGAGGGUGAUCAGCCACACUGGAACUGAGACACGGUCCAGACUCCUACGGGAGGCAGCAGUGGGGAAUAUUGGACAAUGGGCGAAAGCCUGAUCCAGCCAUACCGCGUGAGUGAAGAAGGUCUUCGGGUCGUAAAGCCCUUUUGUUGGGAAAGAAAAGAAGCAGGUGUAUACCCCGCUGUUCUGACGGUACCCAAAGAAUAAGCACCGGCUAACUUCGUG